rnacentral:piRNA from 1 species
UGAGAAACCAUGAGGUCUGAAGACUGC